rnacentral:rRNA from 1 species
AUCCUGGCUUCAGAUUGAACGCUGGCGGCAUGCCUUACACAUGCAAGUCGAACGGCAGCACGGGGUGCUUUGCACCUUGGUUGGCGGAGUUGGCAGAACGGGGUUGAGUUAAUUACAUUCGGAACAUGUUCCCUUGUAAGUGGGGGGAUUAGCCCGGCGGAAAGCCGGAUUUAAUUACCGCCAUACGAUCUAUGGAUGAAAAGCGGGGGGACCUUUCGGGCCCUCGCCGCUAUAGGGGUUGGCCGAUGGCUGAUUAAGCUAGUUGGUGGGGGUAAAGGCCCUACCAAGGCGACGAUCAGUAGCUUGUUCUGAGAGGACGACCAGCCACACUGGGACUGAGACACGGCCCAGACUUCCUACGUGAGGCAGCAGUGGGGAAUUUUGGACAAUGGGCGAAAGCCUGAUCCAGCAAUGCCGCGUGUGUGAAGAAGGCCUUCGGGUUGUAAAGCACAAAAGUCCGGAAAGAAAUCCUUGGCUCUAAUACAGUCGGGGGAUGACGGUACCGGAAGAAUAAGCACCGGCUAACUACGUGCCAGCAGCCGCGGUAAUACGUAGGGUGCAAGCGUUAAUCGGAAUUACUGGGCGUAAAGCGUGCGCAGGCGGUUUGCUAAGACCGAUGUGAAAUCCCCGGGCUCAACCUGGGGAACUGCAUUGGUUGACUGGCAGGGCUAGAGUAUGGCAGAGGGGGGUAGAAUUCCACGUGUAGCAGUGAAAUUGCGUAGAGAUGUGGAGGAAUACCGAUGGCGAAGGCAGCCCCCUGGGCCAAUACUGACGCUCAUGCACGAAAGCGUGGGGAGCAAACAGGAUUAGAUACCCUGGGUAGUCCACGCCCUAAACGAUGUCAACUAGUUGUUGGGGAUUCAUUUUCCUUAGUAACGUAGCUAACGCGUGAAGUUGACCGCCUGGGGAGUACGGUCGCAAGAUUAAAACUCAAAGGAAUUGACGGGGACCCGCACAAGCGGUGGAUGAUGUGGAUUAAUUCGAUGCAACGCGAAAAACCUUUACCUUACCCUUGACAUUGGUCGGAAUCCUGAAGAGAUUCGGGAGUUGCUCGAAAAGAGAACCCGGGCGCACAGGUGCUGCAUGGCUGUUCGUCAGCUCGUGUCGUGAGAUGUUGGGUUAAGUCCCGCAACGAGCGCAACCCUUGUCCUUAGUUGCUACGCAAGAGCACUCUAAGGGAGACUGCCGGUGACCAAACCGGAGGAAGGUGGGGAUGACGUCAAGUCCUCAUGGCCCUUAUGGGUAGGGCUUCACACGUCAUACAAUGGUCGGAACAGAGGGUUGCCAACCCGCGAGGGGGAGCUAAUCCCAGAAAACCGAUCGUAGUCCGGAUUGCACUCUGCAACUCGAGUGCAUGAAGCUGGAAUCGCUUAGUAAUCCCGCGGAUCAGCCAUGCCGCGGUGAAAUACGUUCCCGGGUCUUGUACACACCGCCCGUCACACCAUGGGAGUGGGGUUUUACCAGAAGUGGCUAGUCUAACCGCAAG